rnacentral:rRNA from 1 species
GACGAACGCUGGCGGCGUGCCUAAUACAUGCAAGUCGAACGCUUCUUUCCUCCCGAGUGCUUGCACUCAAUUGGAAAGAGGAGUGGCGGACGGGUGAGUAACACGUGGGUAACCUACCCAUCAGAGGGGGAUAACACUUGGAAACAGGUGCUAAUACCGCAUAACAGUUUAUGCCGCAUGGCAUAAGAGUGAAAGGCGCUUUCGGGUGUCGCUGAUGGAUGGACCCGCGGUGCAUCAGCUAGUUGGUGAGGUAACGGCUCACCAAGGCCACGAUGCAUAGCCGACCUGAGAGGGUGAUCGGCCACACUGGGACUGAGACACGGCCCAGACUCCUACGGGAGGCAGCAGUAGGGAAUCUUCGGCAAUGGACGAAAGUCUGACCGAGCAACGCCGCGUGAGUGAAGAAGGUUUUCGGAUCGUAAAACUCUGUUGUUAGAGAAGAACAAGGACGUUAGUAACUGAACGUCCCCUGACGGUAUCUAACCAGAAAGCCACGGCUAACUACGUG